UACGAAGGGGGCUAGCGUUGUUCGGAAUUACUGGGCGUAGAGCGCGCGCAGGCGGCUAUCCAAGUCCGUGGUGAAAGCCCGGAGCUCAACUCCGGAACUGCCAUUGAAACUGUUUAGCUGGAGUAUGAGAGAGGUGAGUGGAAUUCCCAGUGUAGAGGUGAAAUUCGUAGAUAUUGGGAAGAACACCGGUGGCGAAGGCGGCUCACUGGCUCAUUACUGACGCUCAUGCGCGAAAGCGUGGGGAGCAAACAGG
rnacentral:rRNA from 1 species